rnacentral:rRNA from 1 species
GAUGAACGCUGGCGGCGUGCCUAAUACAUGCAAGUCGAGCGAACGGAUAAGGAGCUUGCUCCUUUGAAGUUAGCGGCGGACGGGUGAGUAACACGUGGGUAACCUACCUAUAAGACUGGGAUAACUUCGGGAAACCGGAGCUAAUACCGGAUAACAUUUAGAACCGCAUGGUUCUAAAGUGAAAGAUGGUUUUGCUAUCACUUAUAGAUGGACCCGCGCCGUAUUAGCUAGUUGGUAAGGUAACGGCUUACCAAGGCGACGAUACGUAGCCGACCUGAGAGGGUGAUCGGCCACACUGGAACUGAGACACGGUCCAG